GACGAACGCUGGCGGCGUGCUUAACACAUGCAAGUCGAACGGAAAGGCCCUGCUUUUGUGGGGUGCUCGAGUGGCGAACGGGUGAGUAACACGUGAGUAACCUGCCCUUGACUUUGGGAUAACUUCAGGAAACUGGGGCUAAUACCGGAUAGGAGCUCCUGCUGCAUGGUGGGGGUUGGAAAGUUUCGGCGGUUGGGGAUGGACUCGCGGCUUAUCAGCUUGUUGGUGGGGUAGUGGCUUACCAAGGCUUUGACGGGUAGCCGGCCUGAGAGGGUGACCGGCCACCAUGGGACUGAGAGACGGCCCAGACUCCUACGGGAGGCAGCAGUGGGGAAUAUUGCACAAUGGGCGGAAGCCUGAUGCAGCAACGCCGCGUGCGGGAUGACGGCCUUCGGGUUGUAAACCGCUUUCGCCUGUGACGAAGCGUGAGUGACGGUAAUGGGUAAAGAAGCACCGGCUAACUACGUG
rnacentral:rRNA from 1 species